GACGAACGCUGGCGGCGUGCUUAACACAUGCAAGUCGAACGGUGACGGAGAGCUUGCUCUCCUGAUCAGUGGCGAACGGGUGAGUAACACGUGGGCAACCUGCCCAGACUUCGGGAUAACGCUUCGAAAGAGGUGCUAAUACCGGAUACGAGCUCCUUGGGCAUCCUUGGAGUUGGAAAAGUUUUUCGGUCUGGGAUGGGCCCGCGGCCUAUCAGCUAGUUGGUGAGGUAACGGCUCACCAAGGCGACGACGGGUAGCCGGCCUGAGAGGGCGACCGGCCACACUGGGACUGAGACACGGCCCAGACUCCUACGGGAGGCAGCAGUGGGGAAUAUUGCGCAAUGGGCGAAAGCCUGACGCAGCAACG
rnacentral:rRNA from 1 species